rnacentral:rRNA from 1 species
UACGUAGGUUGCGAGCGUUGUCCGGAUUUACUGGGCGUAAAGCGCACGCAGGCGGUUCCGAAAGUCGAAUGUGAAAGCUCCUGGCCCAACUGGGAGAGGCCGUUCGAAACUUCGGGACUUGAAGGCGGGAGAGGCAGAUGGAAUUUCCGGUGUAGCGGUAAAAUACGUAGAUACCGGAAGGAACACCAGUGGCGAAAGCGAUCUGCUGGCCCGCCCUUGACGCUCAGGUGCGAAAGCUAGGGGAGCGACCGGG